rnacentral:tRNA from 1 species
GCUUGGGUGGCUCAGCCAGUUGAGCGUCUGACUUUGGCUCAGGUCAUGAUCUCAUGGUUCGUGAGUUCGAGCCCCACAUCGGGCU